AGAGAGAGAGAGAGAGAGAGAGAGAGAGAGAGAGAGAGAGAGAGAGAGAGAGAGAGAGAGAGAGAGAGAGAGGCAUUGAGAGAGAGAGAGAGAGAGAGAGAGAGAGAGAGAGAGAGAGAGAGAGAGAGAGAGAGAGAGAGGCAUUGAGAGAGAGAGAGAGAGAGAGAGAGAGGCAUUGAGAGAGGUAAGUGUGAGGGGAGGAAAAUGGCUACAGGUUAAAUUACAGAUGAAGACAAUCGAGGAUUAAUGAUCCGCGACAUUUUCACAACGCAGAGCUGUUCAAGGACAGAGUACAGAGGGGAGACGCCAGCGACCCGGUCUACGUCCCAAAUAGCACACUAUUCCCAAUUUAGUGCACUGCUCUAUGACCAGGGCCCUAGUUCCUACGUAAUGUAUAGGGAAUAUGGUGCCAUUUGGAACGUAGGCCAGUAAUUGGAGGAGCAUGUAACUUCAGAAGUACUGCUGAGGAUACAGACAGAAGAGAACUUUACUCUUUAGUUAAAGAAAACCCCCAACACGUACUGUACCUGGUCUGUGGUUGUCUUGGAUGAAUGUUGAAAUGUGUUUAUUAGUUUUAUUUCUAGUUACUUUUAGGAUUGCAGUUGCACUGUAGCGGACAAGAAAGUCUUGAGUUUUUAUCCCAAUUGAAAUACCUUCCUCUUAGUUUAGGUUAAACAAUUGUGUUAAUGCUGACCAAUGCAUCUUUCAGUCACUCCCUCAUAAAGCCGCAAUACAUUCUCAAUAGAUCUCUCAUGAGCUUGAUUUCUUCAACCCAUAUUUAACUUGGCAAAAACUCCUCGGGACGGAAUAUCCACAAUGCCAAUUAUAAAGCAUGCAUAAAUAUAUUAUGAAGUACAAUUCACAUGAGAUCACCUCUUGUAAAAAUGAACACUUCAAAAAGUCUAAGAUUUAUACACUAAUGAACAUGAGGGGCAGUAAAAGUGUCAUUUGUGGACUUCUCACAUGUGUUUCACAGUUCCCAUGGAGUGACUGGUGGUUGGUAGGCAUACCAGGCGACACAGGAGAGACAACUGGAGGAGAGGCGAAGCAACUCAAUACAAUGUGGAUGUAGACUGAAUACACAUGGGAGAUGAGUCAAUGAAUCACUACUUCACAAAGAUAUGGGAGAUGAGUCAAUGAAUCACAACUUUACAAAGAUAUGGGAGAUGAGUCAAUGAAUCACAACUUCACAAAGAUAUGGGAGAUGAGUCAAUGAAUCACUACUUCACAAAGAUAUGGGGGAUGAGUCAAUGAAUCACAACUUUACAAAGAUAUGGGAGAUGAGUCAAUGAAUCACAACUUCACAAAGAUAUGGGAGAUGAGUCAAUGAAUCACAACUUCACAAAGAUAUGGGAGAUGAGUCAAUGAAUCACAACUUCACAAAGAUAUGGGGGAUGAGUCAAUGAAUCACAACUUCACAAAGAUAUGGGGGAUGAGUCAAUGAAUCACAACUUUACCAAGAUAUGGGAGAUGAGUCAAUGAAUCACAACUUCACAAAGAUAUGGGAGAUUAAAUAAUGAAUCACAACUUCACAAAGAUAUGGGAGAUGAGUCAAUGAAUCACAACUUCACAAAGAUAUGGGAGAUGAGUCAAUGAAUCACAACUUUACAAAGAUAUGGGAGAUUAAAUAAUGAAUCACAACUUCACAAAGAUAUGGGAGAUGAAAUAAUGAAUCACAAAAACAAGAUGUGAUGGAGAUGGGAUGGAGGCGUGAUGGAGAUGGGAUGGAGAUGGGAUAGAGAUGGGAUGGAGAUGGGAUGGAGAUGUGAUGGAGGUGGGAUGGAGAUGUGAUGGAGAUGGGAUGGAGAUGGGAUGGAGGUGGGAUGGAGGUGGGAUGGAGAUGGAGAUGUGAUGGAGGUGGGAUGGAGAUGGGAUGGAGAUGGAGAUGUGAUGGAGGUGGGAUGGAGAUGGGAUGGAGAUGGGAUGGAGGUGGGAUGGAGAUGGGAUGGAGAUGGGAUGGAGGUGGGAUGGAGGUGGGAUGGAGAUGUGAUGGAGAUGUGAUGGAGGUGUGAUGGAGAUGUGAUAGAGAUGUGAUGGAGGUGGGAUGGAGAUGUGAUGGAGGUGGGAUGGAGAUGGGAUGGAGAUGUGAUGGAGGUGUGAUGGAGAUGUGAUGGAGAUGGGAUGGAGAUGUGAUGGAGAUGUGAUGGAGGUGGGAUGGAGGUGGGAUGGAGAUGUGAUGGAGAUGCGAUGGAGAUGGGAUGGAGGUGUGAUGGAGAUGUGAUGGAGAUGUGAUGGAGAUGGGAUGGAGAUGGGAUGGAGGUGGGAUGGAGAUGGGAUGGAGAUGUGAUGGAGAUGGGAUGGAGAUGCGAUGGAGAUGGGAUGGAGGUGGGAUGGAGGUGGGAUGGAGAUGGGAUGGAGAUGUGAUGGAGAUGUGAUGGAGAUGUGAUGGAGAUGGGAUGGAGAUGUGAUGGAGAUGCGAUGGAGAUGGGAUGGAGGUGUGAUGGAGAUGGGAUGGAGGUGGGAUGGAGGUGGGAUGGAGGUGGGAUGGAGAUGGGAUGGAGGUGGGAUGGAGGUGGGAUGGAGGUGGGAUGUGUUUUUGUGGUUUAUAUAGUAGAUUUAAAAAUAUUACAUACUUUGCAUAGACAAAAUUGAAACAAUUAAAUAAAAAUAUUUUAAGAAAUUGUAAUGUUAGUGGACAUCCUUAUUCUUCAACAAAAAUCAAGCAUUCAAACAUAAUAAAUGUGUGCACAACUUAUGGUUUACCAACUGCCUUUGGUGGUUGUAUUUAUUUAGUAAAAUGCCUGAGCUGACGCACACCCAAAAAUGUUUGUAGAGGUGCUGACUAACAAUUUAACUGGGUAAACUAAAUUGUAUUUAACCAGGAGAGUCCACUCACAAUCACCACUGGUUUCCAGGGACUCCUGACUGUGGUCAGAUAGUUAAAGGGCUAAGGACCCCUCACUCUGUGUCUCAUAGCAGACCUAAAUGGGCCCUGGUCAAACGGAGUGCAGCAUACAGGGAAGAGGGUUCCAUUUGGGAUUCAGCCUAGGUGCAGGAGAUGCAGCAGCCGCCAAGGUUAGCAGAAAGCUUAAAAAAUAUAGACAUGUAUUACAGGAGAGAACACAUCUGUUCCCACUGCUAAUCAGACAUAGAGAGAGGAGGGGAGAAAGACCAGAGAGAGGGCACUUUAACCAGACCAGAGAGAGGACACUUUAACCAGACCAGAGAGAGGACACUUUAACCAGACCAGAGAGAGGACACUUUAAC
rnacentral:lncRNA from 1 species